rnacentral:sRNA from 1 species
GCCAGGCAUGGUGGUUCAUGCCUGUCAUCCUGGCACUUGGGAGGCUGAGGCAGGAGGAUCUCAAGUUCAAGGCUGCCUCAGCAAUUUAGCGAGGCCCUGUCUCAA